rnacentral:lncRNA from 1 species
UGAAAACUACAUUGCCUUUAUUCGCCUUCUGUUCGAACACCAGCUGUGAGGAUUGCACUGAAUUGUUGAAUAAUCUCUGCUAAUGUCUCUGUAUUUUUAGCUUGACUAAUAACAUUUACAUAAUCAGAGAAGAAUCUGGUGACGACAAAAUCUUUUGUUCAUUACAUCAACUGGUGUCAGAGAGAAUGAUGAAAGAGCAGCCUUUUAAGAUUUUACUGAGAAGCAGGAGCACCCCAAGAAGUCUUGGAAAUUGAAGGCUACUUUUAUUGUAAAAAAAGGUAAGAAUUCAUCUGCUUUAAAUUUUUUCCCCCAUAAUAAUCAUAUGCAUGGUUCAGAUAAUACCAUAUUGACUCUUUGAUUCUGUUGCUUUAAUAUGACUUCACCAUAAUCUCUGUGAAGAGUAUAUAUGAUAUAUAUGAUAACACUGUAUGAAAAGAUCUAGCAGUUUAGUAGUCACUCUAUAUAUCAAAUAGCUGGGCAUCAAACUGCCUGAACUUUGACUUCACUGCAAUUUUCUGGAACAAUUUUUUCCCUGAAACUAAUCCUUAAUGAACUGCUCACCCUCCCCUCAAUAAAAGCUUCCCUAUACCAGUGUAGGCAAACAUCAGAAUGUAAAGCAGAUACUGCUUAUAAGUGGAUCAUGAAGAAACUGCAGAAAAAUUAAAAGGCUGCAUGGGUUUUCCUAUUUGCUAGUUUUUAAUUCAUUUAAACCUUUUAUUCUACAGUGAUUUUGUAAUUAGACAAGCUAUAGCUAUAAACCGAAUAAUCCCUGAGUGACAGACUGUGGCAUAUAUUGUUUAUGCUUUACAAAGUCAUCUAUAAUCUCUGGCUUUCAGGAACUGCUUUAGGUGGUAUUUUCAGCUCAGAGAAGGGGCAGGCCUAUGGAAGGAUGCUGGAGCUACCAAGGUCCAAGACAGCUGUUGCCAUAGACACCAGUUUUGAAGGGGCAGAUUGAGCCUCUUGAGGGGAAGAUCUGGUCCUACCUCCAUGCUUAGCCAAGUGUCUCCCACACAUUUCUGGAUUAAGGAUGUCUGUGAGCCUCAAAAUGGACAUUUCCCCAGUUUGGUAGCCAGAGCCAGACUGAGUCUGCAGGGAGCUGUCAGAGAAUUAAUCCAUCAUGAGUUGGAAAUGUCUCUUGAAGAUACAUGCAUCUUCCCAUUACAGCAUGGUCAAAUGCCAGCCUGUUUCUUUGAGAAUUCUUUUGAAGAUUCUAAGCCAGUUAGUAGCUUGAUUUUUCUCUCUCCUGACUUCUUUUUGCAGCAGAUUAUGUCAUUGAAAGCUAUGGGAGCUUAG